AGGAUGACAUCUUCCCAAGGUCAAAGAUUUAUCGGUAAGGGAUGGGCCUGCGUCUGAUUAGAUAGUUGGUGAGGUAACGGCCCACCAAGUCAACGAUCAGUAGCCGACCUGAGAGGGUGAUCGGCCACAUUGGAACUGAGACACGGUCCAAACUCCUACGGGAGGCAGCAGUGGGGAAUAUUGCACAAUGGGGGAAACCCUGAUGCAGCAACGCCGCGUGAAGGAUGAAGGUCUUCGGAUUGUAAACUUCUGUCCUUGGGGAAGAUAAUGACGGUACCCAUGGAGGAAGCCCCGGCUAACUACGUGCCAGCAGCCGCGGUAAUACGUAGGGGGCGAGCGUUAUCCGGAAUUAUUGGGCGUAAAGAGUGCGUAGGUGGUUACCUAAGCAGGGGGUGAAAGGCACUGGCCUAACCAAUGUCAGCCCCCUGAACUGGGCUACUUGAGUGCAGGAGAGGGAAGUGGAAUUCCUAGUGUAGCGGUGAAAUGCGUAGAUAUUAGGAGGAACACCGGCGGCGAAGGCGACUUUCUGGACUGUUACUGACACUGAGGCACGAAAGUGUGGGGAGCAAACAGGAUUAGA
rnacentral:rRNA from 1 species